UUACAAUAUAGUGUAGUUGUUUUCAAAAUGUUUAAUACAAAAGCAUUUAUUUAUCGUUGUAAUCUGACACUGGGAAUCCGCUGUCCCUGGGCUGCCUCCGCCUCCACUGGCAGUUCUUUCUUUUUUCCUCAAACGCACCCUAACAUAACACGUCCGCGCACGCUGUCAGAUGUGUUUGAAAGACGGAAAAUGUAGCAAGGGUGGCGCAGAGAAGGCAAGAAUCAGCAAGAGGAAAGCUCUGGAAACAGACGCAGACAAAUGUGCUGAACAAGGAAACUUCAGCACUAAAUCGAGCUCGCUGUUUGAAACCACAAAUGAGGACGAGGAAACGGGGACGGCAAGAUGUUGAACUUUGCAAAUCAUCGUUGAAGUUAAUUAUCAAGUCAAUGAAUUGUGUGGCACUGUGGCAUAUAACAUAACAUUACAUAAUUUAAAUAAUAGUAUGAUGCGACGCCACAUAACUGGAAAACUUUGUCUUGUAGCCUCUCAGAGUCAGAAGAAAGAUCCAGAACCAAGCAGCAACCAUGAGCCCAGAGUGGGAGGUAGGGUCACGGUGACUCUGACUCCUUCUCUGCCAUCUCUCAGUGAACUGAAGCGAGCGUCUGUAUGUGUGGAUCCAGUGGAAGGGAUUGUUGAAUGACGACAUCAACAGUUCCUCCGCUUCUAUUGGUCGACAGACAUGUCGGCGUUUGGAGAGGAUGUCACUGUCUGAUCCUUAAAAGUGUGAGAUGAGACUGCAGCAGAGCAGAAAGCUCCGCUUCAAGCAGUUCAACAUUCAUCAUUUUUAAUGUAGCUUUUUGCGUUCGCUACCGCGCUACAGGACCAAAAGAUCAGCUAAGCUGUUGAAACGUUUUUUGAUUUUGUAAACAACGACGCUAUCACGUCGUUACAGAAAAAUGUAGUUAAACUACUAACGACGCUAUUUGUAGUGACGUUACUGCCCAACACUGUAGGUGAUUGAGCACUACUUCAAUGAAAUCGACCUCAACUGAUCAGAAAAUUUGGAAAAAGGGAAGAUUUGUGCUGCAAAUUAUGGCCAUUUUAAAACUGUGAUUUAGUGUCAGAGGCAGAGCCAGUAGUGAUGAGGGGAUUACUGCUGUCAGUAUGGAAGGAACAGGUGAGCUGUUGGAACAGAGUGAACAAGCAAGCAUUAGUUCCAAUAAAACCACUGUCUGUGCCCAAAUGAUAGCAGUUUUAUUUUUUUAUCAUUAAAUGUAAGACAGUAAAUACACAAAGCCCACAACUGAAAGGAAUGAAAGUAAUAUGAAAUAAGCCUGCAUAUUUUGCCAUUGAAUAUAUCUUAAUUGCUUAAGUCAAAAUGUGCUUUCUAUAUCAAAUGUGCUUCAGCCUAACAGAUUGUUAUUUUUUAUUGUGAUACAGGGAAACUGGAGGAAGUGUUAAAGGGAGAGCAGAGUCACUCAGGGACUGAUUAGAGGCAGCAGAACUCUGAACCACAUGUUAGGGAUGGGACAGAUGAGGAUGAAUCAGCUGAUAGUUUUGAGCACUUUGCUCGCCCUCAGUCACAGGAUGUACAUAUAUAUAUUCUGAUGUGAAGAAUAGUUUUGGAGAUUUGCAAUUUAACUCAUGUUCUCUAAGUCGUAAUGGAAGUGUUUCUUUUUAUUUAUCCUUUAAUUUUUAAGGUUUGGAUAUCUGUGAACACUUAUUUGAACAGAAUAUAGAUUCUGAUAUUGUUGUGAAGAAACAUGUUGGAGAUGUGCACUCAUGUUGAAAUAAAUCCUCAUUGUGAAACAA